GAUGAACGCUGGCGGCGUGCCUAAUACAUGCAAGUCGAGCGAACAGACGAGGAGCUUGCUCCUCUGACGUUAGCGGCGGACGGGUGAGUAACACGUGGAUAACCUACCUAUAAGACUGGGAUAACUUCGGGAAACCGGAGCUAAUACCGGAUAAUAUAUUGAACCGCAUGGUUCAAUAGUGAAAGACGGUUUUGCUGUCACUUAUAGAUGGAUCCGCGCCGCAUUAGCUAGUUGGUAAGGUAACGGCUUACCAAGGGAACGAUGCGUAGCCGACCUGAGAGGGUGAUAGGCCACACUGGAGCUGAGACACGGUCCAGACUCCUACGGGAGGCAGCAGUAGGGAAUCUUCCGCAAAGGGCGAAAGCCUGACGGAGCAACGCCGCGUGAGUGAUGAAGGUCUUCGGAUCGUAAAACUCUGUUAUUAGGGAAGAACAAAUGUGUAAGUAACUAUGCACGUCUUGACGGUACCUAAUCAGAAAGCCACGGCUAACUACGUG
rnacentral:rRNA from 1 species